rnacentral:rRNA from 1 species
CCUACGGGAGGCAGCAGUGAGGAAUAUUGGUCAAUGGACGAGAGUCUGAACCAGCCAAGUAGCGUGAAGGAUGACUGUCCUAUGGGUUGUAAACUUCUUUUAUAUGGGAAUAAAAUGUUCCACGUGUGGGCUUUUGUAUGUACCCUAUGAAUUAGGAUCGGCUAACUCCGGUCCAGCCGGCGGGGUAAUACGGAGGUUCCGCGCGUUACUCGGAUUUAUUGGGUUUUAAGGGAGCGUAGGUGGAUUGUUAAGUCAGUUGUGAAAGUUUGCGGCUCAAACGUAAAAUUGCAGUUGAAACUGGCAGUCUUGAGUGCAGUAGAGGUGGGCGGAAUGCGUGGUGUAGCGGUGAAAUGCUUAGAUAUCACGAAGAACUCCGAUUGCGAAGGCAGCUCACUGGACUGCAACUGACACUGAGGCUCGAAAGUGUGGGUAUCAAACAGGAUUAGAUACCCCAGUAGUC